UACGUAGGGUGCAAGCGUUAAUCGGAAUUACUGGGCGUAAAGCGUGCGCAGGCGGUUGUGCAAGACAGAUGUGAAAUCCCCGGGCUCAACCUGGGAAUUGCAUUUGUGACUGCACGGCUAGAGUGUGUCAGAGGGGGGUAGAAUUCCACGUGUAGCAGUGAAAUGCGUAGAGAUGUGGAGGAAUACCGAUGGCGAAGGCAGCCCCCUGGGAUAACACUGACGCUCAUGCACGAAAGCGUGGGGAGCAAACAGGAUUAGAAACCCU
rnacentral:rRNA from 1 species